GAGUUAACAUUCCUGCAAGACAGCAAAGACAAACACCUCAUUAGAGCCUUGAUUUGAGAGAACAAGACACCAAACACAAUGUGUUACACUUGACAACAGCCUCUGUGAUAACAAGAUAA